rnacentral:rRNA from 1 species
UACGUAGGGGGCUAGCGUUGUCCGGAUUUAUUGGGCGUAAAGAGCGUGUAGGCGGCUUUACAGGUCCGUUGUGAAAACUCGAGGCUCAACCUCGAGACGCCGGUGGAAACCGUAAAGCUAGAGUCCGGAAGAGGAGAGUGGAACUCCGAGUGUAGAGGUGAAAUUCGUAGAUAUUCGGAAGAACACCAGUGGCGAAGGCGGCAUCCUGGACCAUGACUGACGCUGAGGAGCGAAAGCCAGGGGAGCAAACGGG